AACGAACGCUGGCGGCGUGCCUAACACAUGCAAGUCGAGCGCGAAUGGAGCAAUCCUAGUAGAGCGGCGCACGGGUGCGUAACACGUGGGUAAUCUGCCCAAAAGACCGGGAUAACCUGCCGAAGGCAAGCUAAUACCGGAUAAGCCUACAGACUCUUCGGAGUUCGAAGGAAAGGUGGCCUCUGUAUACAAGCUAUCACUUUUGGAUGAGCCCGCGGCCCAUCAGCUAGUUGGCGGGGUAAUGGCCCACCAAGGCUACGACGGGUAGCUGGUCUGAGAGGACGAUCAGCCACACUGGAACUGAGACACGGUCCAGACUCCUACGGGAGGCAGCAGUGGGGAAUUUUGCGCAAUGGGCGAAAGCCUGACGCAGCAACGCCGCGUGNGUGAUGAAGGUCUUCGGAUUGUAAAGCACUUUCGACC
rnacentral:rRNA from 1 species